CGCGUAGGUGGAAGAAUAAGUUGGAUGUGAAAUCCCCGGGCUUAACCUGGGAACUGCAUCCAGUACUAUUCAUCUAGAGUACAGUAGAGGGAAGUGGAAUUUCCGGUGUAGCGGUGAAAUGCGUAGAUAUCGGAAGGAACACCAGUGGCGAAGGCGGCUUCCUGGACUGAUACUGACACUGAGGCGCGAGAGCGUGGGGAGCGAACA
rnacentral:rRNA from 1 species